ACCUAAUAGAUACCCUGGUAGUCCACGCCCUAAACUAUGUCAACUAGUUGUUGGGAGAGUUAAAUCUCUUAGUAAACGCAGCUAAACGCGUGAAGUUGACCGCCUGGGGAGUACGGCCGCAAGGUUAAAACUCAAAGGAAUUGACGGGGACCCGCACAAGCGGUGGAUUAUGUGGAUUAAUUCGAUGCAACGCGAAAAACCUUACCUACCCUUGACAUGUACGGAACGGGGCAGAGACGUCCCGGUGCCCGAAAGGGAACCGUAACACAGGUGCUGCAUGGCUGUCGUCAGCUCGUGUCGUGAGAUGUUGGGUUAAGUCCCGCAACGAGCGCAACCCUUACCAUUAGUUGCUACAUUCAGUUGGGCACUCUAAUGGGACUGCCGGUGACAAACCGGAGGAAGGUGGGGAUGACGUCAAGUCCUCAUGGCCCUUAUGGGUAGGGCUUCACACGUAAUACAAUGGCCGGUACAGAGGGUUGCCAGCCCGCGAGGGGGAGCCAAUCCCAGAAAACCGGUCGUAGUCCGGAUUGUUCUCUGCAACUCGAGAGCAUGAAGUCGGAAUCGCUA
rnacentral:rRNA from 1 species